rnacentral:rRNA from 1 species
CAGUAGCCGCGGUAAUACAGAGGGUGCAAGCGUUAAUCGGAAUUACUGGGCGUAAAGGGCGCGUAGGCGGUAAGGUGUGUGUGAUGUGAAAGCCCCGGGCUUAACCUGGGAAGUGCAUCGCAAACUACCUAACUAGAGUAUAUGAGAGGGUGGCGGAAUUUCCGGUGUAGCGGUGAAAUGCGUAGAGAUCGGAAGGAACGUCAAUGGCGAAGGCAGCCACCUGGCAUAAUACUGACGCUGAGGCGCGAAAGCGUGGAGAGCGAACAGGAUUAGAUACCCGCGUAGUCCCUGUCUCUUAUAC